AAUGGCAUGGGGCGACCUGUAGUGCAGUCUUUAGUUUAUCGUGAAGACCAGUCACAUCUACAGCUGCUAAUGACACAGGCUAAGGAAUGGGCUGGGAUUGAAACUUUUCAAAAGUCGAUAUUCAUGGUUGAUAAAGCUCAAGCAGAAAUAUCUGGACUACAGUCUGUUUUUCCAGGAAAUAAAAUAUUUCUCUGUCGCUUUCAUGUAGCUAAAGCUUUUAUUUAUCAAAUUAAAAAGGGUAGACUUACUGCUGACGAUCAGGAAUUAUUAUUCAAGGCUACUCAGAAAUUAAUGUACGGUAAUCAGGCAACAUGCGCUGAAGCUUUGUUAAAUAUUUAAAAAAAUUUCCCUACGUUCUAUGUGUAUCUUCAAGAAAACUGGCUGACCAUACCAGAAAUGUUUAUGGGUCACUAUAGAAAAGGUCUGAUGCAUUUAGACAAUCAUACUAAUAACAGACUUGAAAGAUAUCAUAGAACACUUAAAGAUGUCGGCCUUUUGUCACGCAUGUCACCGGGAAAUCUUAUAGAUAAAAUUCUUAAGGUUAAUAGAGUGCAAAUAGAAAAAUCUAAACAUGCAGACUUUGACCAACAACUAAAAAUUAAUAAUAAACUUCCAGAGCCACUAAAGUUUUAUUCAUGUCAUGUUUCUUCUUUUAUUCUUCGUCACCUCAUGGAACAAUAUGAUAAAAGUGUUAAGUCUGAUUUUAG